GCUCCGGUAGUAUAGUCCGGUCAAGUAUGCAGGCCUCUCGAGCCUGCGACCCGGGUUCAAAUCCCGGCCGGAGCA
rnacentral:tRNA from 1 species